AAAAUAUAAAUUAAUAACAAUAAAUAGUAUAAUAAAAGUAAUUUUAAUAUUAAAAUAAAUAAUGGGGGUUAAAGUAUUUUAAUAGAAAAAAUUAUAAAUUUUAUAGAAAAUUAGUAUAGUAAUAGAAAUUUGAAAUAUUUGAAAAUAAAUUUAUAAAAAAGUAAAUUUUAUUUAUUGUAUCUUGUGUAUCAGAGUUUAUUAAAAAAAAUUUUUUAAUUAAAAAAAUCUCGAAUUUAAAAGAGUUAAUUAAUUAAAAAAAUUUAAUGUAAAAUAAUUAUUUUAAAUAAUUAAUUAGAAAUGAAAUGUUAAUCGUUUUUAAAUAUAUCUAGUUAUUUUAGAAAAAAAUUUAAUUUUAAAUUUAUUUAAUUUAAAAUAUUAAUUAAUUUAAUAUUUAAAAAAUUAAAUUUUAUAAUUUAAGGGAUAAACUUUAAAUUAAAUUAUUAUAAUAUAAAAAAUUUUUUUUUUAAAAUUUUUAAAAUUUAUAUUGUUUAAAAAUUAAAAUUUUUUAUAAAAAUUUUUAAUAAAAAUAAAAUUUAAUAAAUUAAAUUUAAUUUUUUAUAAAAUUAUAAUAUUUAAUAAAUAAAUAUUAGAAAAAAUGAUAAAAUUAGUAUAAUAAAUAUAAUUAUAAUAAUAUAUUAUAAAUUAAUUAUAUAAAAGGAAUUCGGCAAAUAUAUAUAUUCACCUGUUUAACAAAAACAUGUCUUUUUGAUAAAUAAUUUAAAGUCGAAUCUGCCCACUGAUAAAAUUAUUAAAGGGCUGCAGUAUAUUGACUGUACAAAGGUAGCAUAAUCAUUAGUCUUUUAAUUGAAGACUUGUAUGAAGGAUUUGAUGAAAUAUAAACUGUCUCUUAUAUAUUAAUAGAAUUUAAUUUUUUAGUUAAAAAGCUAAAAUUUAUUUAAAAGACGAGAAGACCCUAUAGAGUUUUAUAAUUAUUUUUUAAUUAUUUAUUUAUAAAUAUAAAAAAUUUUUAUUAAAUAAUUAUUUUAUUGGGGUGAUAAAAAAAUUAAAAUAACUUUUUUUAAUAAAUUAACAAAUAUAAAUGAAUAAUUGAUCCAUAAAUUAUGAUUAAAAGAAAUAAUUACCUUAGGGAUAACAGCGUAAUUUUUUUUUUUAGUACAAAUAAAAAAAAAAGUUUGCGACCUCGAUGUUGGAUUAAGAUAAAAUUUAAAUGCAAAAGUUUAAAAUUUUGAUCUGUUCGAUCAUUAAAAUCUUACAUGAUCUGAGUUCAAACCGGUGUAAGCCAGGUUGGUUUCUAUCUUUAAAAAAUUAAAAUAUUUUA
rnacentral:rRNA from 1 species